UUAGAGAGAUGCAGUUGAAAGCGUUUGAAACAGCUGGCAGAUUUAAUAGAGAGCUGCAUUUUUGUUUUGCCCACCAGGUGUUUGUGAAAAUGCCUCAGAGAAGCUGCUAGACUUUAGCCUUUGUGAACCAUAUGUUUAUGUUUAUCAUUCUCUCAGACUCUCAGUGUUACUGCUGCUGCUAGAAUAACGUCAUAAAAUGCACUCUGUGUCUGCUUCAAAUCAUUUUGCUUGAUAUUCUUUCCUCGUGAUUUCAGGUUCAUGCCAUAUUGAAGUAGUAUCCCACCUUAAGAAUGGUAGUUGGGAAUGCAGCCUUUGAAUCGCUGGAUAGGAUGAAAGAAGAGAGCAAGAAAGCACAAGUGAGGUCUGAUCCUACAGAAAAGAUGGUGUAGAGGGUCUGAAACCAAAUGCAAGAGGGCCUGGUCUUGUCACUUUUGGGGUGCUCUACUGGACUUGAAAGAAUGUAUAAUUCACGGAAUAGAAACUAUGGUGGCAAGGUAUGCAAUUUUUCCAGCAAAUGUCUAUAUUUUUUUUGUUUCAAUUUUUGUUUUUGCAUUUUUGUUACAUCGGAGACUAUGUGCUUUACAAUUUAUAUUUUUUUCUAUCUACAUAAUUUUUUUGUUCUUCUUUUUUCAUAUGUGGUGGCAAGGUAUGGAAUACUUCCCCAGAUGAGCAAAACCGCCUCAAAAUUCAAGUCUUCAACAACCCAUGUACUCCAUUUUCAAAAAGCAAGCUUCUUUACUGCAACAGUUGCAGAUCGUGAAGAAGAAUCACAAAACCCAAAGAGACCCAAGUAGAUGAUACAUUUUCAUGCAUCAUAUUUGUGCCAUGUUUUGGAAAACAUAAAUACACACUUUUGAUGUCCCAAGUAGAUGGGCAUGUACUAGAAUGCUUUUAUAGUUUAAAUGUUGGCUUGGAUGA